rnacentral:rRNA from 1 species
GUGGGGAAUAUUGGACAAUGGGCGCAAGCCUGAUCCAGCCAUGCCGCGUGAGUGAUGAAGGCCUUAGGGUUGUAAAGCUCUUUCAGUAGGGAAGAUAAUGACGGUACCUACAGAAGAAGCCCCGGCUAACUUCGUGCCAGCAGCCGCGGUAAUACGAAGGGGGCUAGCGUUGUUCGGAUUUACUGGGCGUAAAGCGCACGUAGGCGGAUUGGUCAGUUAGAGGUGAAAUCCCGAAGCUCAACUUCGGAACUGCCUUUAAUACUGCCAGUCUCGAGUCCGGAAGAGGUGAGUGGAACUCCUAGUGUAGAGGUGGAAUUCGUAGAUAUUAGGAAGAACACCAGUGGCGAAGGCGGCUCACUGGUCCGGUACUGACGCUGAGGUGCGAAAGCGUGGGGAGCAAACAGGAUUAGAAACCCUGGUAGUCC